GGCAAGAUAUCUUACCCCUGUCAGUCCAGUUACUCAGGAGGAGGAAAGAUCAAGGCUCAAGGCCAGCCUAGGCAAAAAGUGAUCAAAACUUCAUGUCACCCGGAAGUCGGCAGGAUGAGGUGGUAGACAGCCUAGGGACACCCUGAGAAGACAGAAUGGUGACUUCUGGAUUUUCCCACCUUCCUAUGCCUUCAAGAUUUUCCAGUCCUCCAGUCCCAAUCCUGACUUAGAUUCUCAAGUCCAGCCCCGUGUUGCUCUAGGCCUGCUCUGGAGGAUGGGAGGGGGAAGGAGGAGGAGACACAGUCCUCAGCCCUUUCUACACUGCAGCUCAGAGCAGUCAGCAUCCUCCUCCAUCCGUCACAGCCUCCACUCUUCUCCCCAAGUGGAAUGGAGGAUUAAUCGCCAACACAAUUCUCCUGUGACCAGCUCUGCAACCGCAAAUCCCUCUCCUCAACUACACAGGGAAAUAUCACCUCACCCCUCCCUACCAUCUAUUAAAUGUAAAUAGAGCUCAGAGAUUCACUAACCUGAGACUUUUGAAAUGGAAUUAAAAAUUUUCUCAUUUCCUUAAA